rnacentral:rRNA from 1 species
GUGAACGCUGGCGGUAGGCCUAACACAUGCAAGUCGAACGGCAGCACAGUAAGAGCUUGCUCUUACGGGUGGCGAGUGGCGGACGGGUGAGGAAUACAUCGGAAUUUACUUUUUCGUGGGGGAUAACGUAGGGAAACUUACGCUAAUACCGCAUACGACCUACGGGUGAAAGCAGGGGAUCUUCGGACCUUGCGCGAUUGAAUGAGCCGAUGUCGGAUUAGCUAGUUGGCGGGGUAAAGGCCCACCAAGGCGACGAUCCGUAGCUGGUCUGAGAGGAUGAUCAGCCACACUGGAACUGAGACACGGUCCAGACUCCUACGGGAGGCAGCAGUGGGGAAUAUUGGACAAUGGGCGCAAGCCUGAUCCAGCCAUACCGCGUGGGUGAAGAAGGCCUUCGGGUUGUAAAGCCCUUUUGUUGGGAAAGAAAAGCAGCAGGUUAAUACCCCGCUGUUCUGACGGUACCCAAAGAAUAAGCACCGGCUAACUUCGUG